UACAGAGGGUGCGAGCGUUAAUCGGAAUUACUGGGCGUAAAGCGUGCGUAGGUUGUUGCAUAAGUUAGGUGUGAAAUUCCUGGGCUUAACCUGGGAACUGCGCCUAAUACUGUACAGCUAGAGUAUUGUAGAGGAAAGUGGAAUUUCCGGUGUAGCGGUGAAAUGCGUAGAUAUCGGAAGGAACAUCAGUGGCGAAGGCGACUUUCUGGACAAAUACUGACACUGAGGCACGAAAGCAUGGGGAGCAAACAGG
rnacentral:rRNA from 1 species